AUUCAGAUUUCCUACUUUCUUUCUCCUAGGGAAUAGUCUUUCCUUUCCAACAGCUUUGCCCUAUAGCUGAAUUAAAAUUUCUAAACCUGAGUCCUGUUGGCAGCUUUUUAGCAGCAGAGCUGUGCAGGCGGUUGUAUGGAGAGGAGAGGGAAGAAAACCCCUCAGAACAACCUUCAAAAUCCACCGUCAAUAGUUAGAUAGUUGUACCCUGUCUUCAUGCAGCCUGUGUUUACUUCUGGGGCAAGAUGCUACUGGAAGGAGCGUGCUCUCUUAGAUGCAAAGAGCCAGAGAUUUCCUGAGUCAUGGGCAGCUGAGGAGGACAGAAAUAUCAAUGAGAUGGAAGCAGGUUGGAAGUCUCAAUGGCUGGAUAUUGAUUUGAAGUUCUUUGGUAAAAACAGGAACCAGAGCAUUGACAAAAUAAGCAUACCUUGUGCAGCAAAUAGUUUAUUGAUGAUCUGCCUGCAACGAAGUCAUGGAGUCGACCUUACUGCCUUUCCUUACAGGAUUUCUCUGACUGCGGUGUUGAAAGGGCAGAAAUAAUACAUUAAUUUUGUGUUAGAGCUGGGGGAAUUACCUCUUUGGGUUUGUUUGUCAUGUCAGCUUUGUUAAUUACCCAAAGAGCUUUCUUGAUGGUUAUUAUUACAGGCAAUUUUAUGCUUUCAAGCUCUGGAGACCAAACCUCUGUAAACAAAAAAUAUAUGGGUCUGCUUAUACUGCUCUCUGACCUGAGUUUCUAUUAAUGUGUACAUGUGUCCAGGGAGUAAGUAGUCUGUGUAGGGAGGGAACAAAAUAAAGAAUAUUCCCAGUAUGUAUCUGGAGUGAAU
rnacentral:lncRNA from 1 species